AAUGUACUGUAAUUGCAAUCAAAUGACGAAGCACUCUGGUGAACAGCGUUAUAUGUACGAUAUUCAAUGGAAUAACUAUAGAGAUAAUAAGAUCUCUAUGGGAAUAACCUUCUCUUUAAAAUUCUUAAAAUUCUGUUCAUUUUUUUAAAAUUUUGAACCGGUUAUUCCAUUAAAAUGUACCGUAAUAUGCAAUGCAUCGCGAAGGUCUGAUAUUUUUCUCGGAAUGUAUCCUUCUUUUAUUACAGCCUUUAAGUCGAAGUAGCAGCCCAGAGGCACCGACAUAGAAGAUAAAAUGUUUGGUCAUGCUUUUCAAGCGAUCGUCGCAGUUCUUCUCGUUUCCUACUGUGUAGGAGAGCCCCUGAAAGGUUCGACGUGCGCUUUCGGCAGCACGCCGCAAAUAUUCCUGAACGGUGCCAUACUUGAGGCUAACGCACAAAAAUGCUACGAAGCUAUAUGCACAAACGGCGUCGUGUCAAUCAACAGCAUCAGCGCCGGCUGCGGGUGUUGUGAGUACGGCGGUCGCGUGUACGCCCCCGGCGCAGAGGUGUCGCAGAGGACCUGCAGAGCCCGGUGCGAGUCGGGUGGUUACUGGGUGUGCAUAGGGGCACCUGUAAUCAGAGCUGCUACGCCGCUGCUAGAAUUGACCGUGGGCGGCAGCGGUUGAGUUCGCCUCUUUCUGGAUACCUACACCAUCUUUUCUCACUGUGCUCGACGCAUUGAAAAUCACGGACCUCGCUAAUCAUCUGUGCAGCUAAUUAAAUUGUUUCGACCCCCGAUGAAGAUAUAAAUGACGGAUAAUAAAACGGAAUUCAAU